GACAGAGGUGCCAAGCGUUAGGCGGAAUCACUGGGCUUAAAGCGUGUGUAGGCGGAUCGUUAAGUACCUUGUGAAAGCCCACGGCUCAACCGUGGAACUGCUGGGUAUACUGGCGAUCUUGAGCCACCUAGGGGCGAGCGGAACAAGCGGUGGAGCGGUGAAAUGCGUAGAUAUCGAGAGGAACACCUGCGGCGAAGGCGGGUUGCUGGGCUGAUACUGACGCUGAGGCGCGAAAGCCAGGGGAGCGAACGGG
rnacentral:rRNA from 1 species